GACGAACGCUGGCGGCGUGCCUAAUACAUGCAAGUCGAACGAGAGCGACCGGUGCUUGCACUGGUCAAUCUAGUGGCGAACGGGUGAGUAACACGUGGGUAACCUGCCCAUCAGAGGGGGAUAACAUCCGGAAACGGAUGCUAAAACCGCAUAGGUCUUCGAACCGCAUGGUUUGAAGAGGAAAAGAGGCGCAAGCUUCUGCUGAUGGAUGGACCCGCGGUGCAUUAGCUAGUUGGUGAGGUAACGGCUCACCAAGGCCGUGAUGCAUAGCCGACCUGAGAGGGUGAUCGGCAACAUUGGGACUGAGACACGGCCCAAACUCCUACGGGAGGCAGCAGUAGGGAAUCUUCCGCAAUGGACGCAAGUCUGACGGAGCAACGCCGCGUGAGUGAAGAAGGUGUUCGGAUCGUAAAACUCUGUUGUUAGAGAAGAACAAGUGCUAGAGUAACUGUUAGCGCCUUGACGGUAUCUAACCAGAAAGCCACGGCUAACUACGUG
rnacentral:rRNA from 1 species